rnacentral:lncRNA from 10 species
AGCUUCCAGUGAGAACUCAUGGAGCUUUUAUUCAUGGUAGAAAGCAAAGUGGGAGCCAGCAUGUCACAUGGUGAGAGAGAAAACAAGAGAGAGAGGAGGGAAGUGCUACACUCUUUUAACAAUCAGAUCUUGUGUGAACUCAAAGUAAGAAUGCACUCAUUAUCAUUAGGACAGCACCAAACCAUUCAUAAAGCAAAUGUGUUCUUACAAGGCUCAUUAUGCCCUCCAGGCCCCAUAAACAGUGAGGCUGGCUUGUUUUGGUGUCCAGGGAAUGGCUGAACCUUUGCUAUUUUUGUUCAUCUGGAAUAUCAUUACACAAUCCUUACAGAGGAGAGUAUAGUUUUCAUAACUGAUACCUUAUCUGUAUCAAUGUGGUUAGAUGUAUCUAUUGAGCUGUUUAUGCUCUUUAUCACACGAAACACCAGCUGCAUUGGAACAGAUGGUUGAUAUUGGAGAAGACAAAGUUGGAAAACUAGAUAGAAAAUCUGGAAUGCUGAGGUUAGGGGACAUUACCCUGAUGUACUGAUGUACUGAGGAUGAGGGCUGUUAAGUGUUUUAGGCAGGAUGCACACUGAAGACCAAAGAAGGAAUCCCAGAUCUUGACCAUGUCACCUUCCUGGGCUUUAAUAGCCUCGUCUGUAAAAUGCGAAUAACAAUGCAUGAUUUUCCUGUUUCAUAGGAGUGUUCUCAGGGUCAGCAUGAGAACAAAUUGAGAUAACGUAAGUGAAGGUGUUUUGUAAACCUUUCACGAAAGUAUAAAAUGGUGUUUUAAGAUAAUUAGGUUGUAAUGUGAUGGGUCUAUACACUCACAGCCCUCAAGGAUGGGGUAGAGAACAUUUAAUGUGGCUUGAAACUGUUAGGGCAAGAGAAUGAGAAAAUCCAUAGAUAUAUUACAAAAUAAACCAGGUGGCAUGAACUUAUUGCUUUUGAAAUAAAGGGUAAUACUCCAGGUAGAUUAUUACCUUUUACUGUGAAUGGAAAGAUCUUGAGGAAGACCGGGAAGAAGAUGAGAAAUAUUAAUCCUGAAGGCCCCUGAAUGUUUCCAGAGGUCUUUCUUCCCAAACCAGAUGGCAAAUGAAUUAGAUUCUCUGUGAGUUGUAGAAUAUUAAAUUUUAUAACCAAACCAAAUUGAUGUCUUAUGCCUGGAACCUAUGCACUAGUGAGUCUACUGGGAACAGCUUAGAUUAUCUUCACUACUGAUUCAUGAAAAAGGUUUUGGCAAAUGGUCUCAGGCAAGGAAUGAAGCCAGGAACAGCAUUUGUCAUACCAGAUGGGCUGACUCACCCUUUGGAUAGAAAAGUUCACCUGUCUUAUUCUAAAAACUACCCUUUGCUCUCUUAAAUGGACCAGGGACAUUUGUCAUAUUCUAUAUUGAUGAACAAGUCUUGUUUAUCCAGUGUCUAUGAGCUUCUGGGACGCUUAAGUUUGGUGCUAAGUAUUACCUAUCAAGCUGGAUUUUUGGAGAAACUUAAUGAAAACUCAUGUGGACAUCUAAAGU